AUACGGAGGGUGCAAGCGUUAAUCGGAAUUACUGGGCGUAAAGCGUACGUAGGCGGUUCGUUAAGUUAGAUGUGAAAGCCCCGGGCUUAACCUGGGCACUGCAUUUAAAACUGGCGAACUAGAGUUGAGUAGAGGGGAGUGGAAUUUCAGGUGUAGCGGUGAAAUGCGUAGAGAUCUGAAGGAACACCAGUGGCGAAGGCGACUCCCUGGACUCGAACUGACGCUGAGGUACGAAAGCGUGGGUAGCAAACGGGAUUAGAUACCCUAGUAGUCC
rnacentral:rRNA from 1 species